GAUAUAUAGAUAUGUAUUUUUUUUGAGCAUCGGGAAUUAUGAGUGUUGGUAGAAAAGAGUGGAAACCAGCACCUACGUCAUCCAUGAGCUCAUCGAUUACGAAAGGAGUAAGGGUUUUAAAAUAUCAAAACCAAACGAAAACUGUGAGUUUGUAAACUU